rnacentral:rRNA from 1 species
UACGUAGGGUGCGAAGCGUUAAUCGGAAAUUACUGGGCGUAAAGGCGUGCGCAGGCGGUUCUAUAAGACAGAUGUGAAAUCCCCGGGCUCAACCUGGGAACUGCAUUUGUGACUGUAGAGCUGGAGUACGGUAGAGGGGGAAUGGAAUUCCGCGUGUAGCAAGUGAAAUGCGUAGAUAUGCGGAGGAACACCGAUGGCGAAGGCAAUCCCCUGGACCUGUACUGACGCUCAUGCACGAAAGCGUGGGGAGCAAACGGG